rnacentral:rRNA from 1 species
AUUGCCUCAGUAACGGCGAGUGAAGCGGCAAGAGCUCAAAUUUGAAAGCUGGCUCCUUCGGGGUCCGCAUUGUAAUUUGCAGAGGAUGCUUCGGGUGCAGCCCCCGUCUAAGUGCCCUGGAACGGGCCGUCAUAGAGGGUGAGAAUCCCGUAUGGGGCGGGGUGUCUGCGUCCGUGUGAAGCUCCUUCGACGAGUCGAGUUGUUUGGGAAUGCAGCUCUAAAUGGGUGGUAAAUUUCAUCUAAAGCUAAAUACUGGCCGGAGACCGAUAGCGCACAAGUAGAGUGAUCGAAAGAUGAAAAGCACUUUGAAAAGAGAGUUAAACAGCACGUGAAAUUGUUGAAAGGGAAGCGCUUGCAACCAGACUCGCUCGCGGGGUUCAGCCGGGCUUCGGCCCGGUGUACUUCCCCGCGGGCGGGCCAGCGUCGGUUUGGGCGGCCGGUCAAAGGCCUCCGGAAUGUAGCGCCCUUCGGGGCGCCUUAUAGCCGGGGGUGCAAUGCGGCCAGCCUGGACCGAGGAACGCGCUUCGGCACGGACGCUGGCAUAAUGGUUGUAAACGACCCGUCUUGAAACACGGACCAAGGAGUCUAACAUCUACGCGAGUGUUCGGGUGUCAAACCCGUACGCGCAGUGAAAGCGAACGGAGGUGGGAGCCCCCUCGCGGGGCGCACCAUCGACCGAUCCUGAUGUCUUCGGAUGGAUUUGAGUACGAGCGUAAAUGUGGGGACCCGAAAGAUGGUGAACUAUGCCUGAAUAGGGCGAAGCCAGAGGAAACUCUGGUGGAGGCUCGCAGCGGUUCUGACGUGCAAAUCGAUCGUCAAAUUUGGGUAUAGGGGCGAAAGACUAAUCGAACCAUCUCGUAGCUGGUUCCUGCC